GCAUAACCUGUUGCCUACAUACAGCUCUGAAAAAAAUAGAGACCACUUAAAAAUGAUCAAUUUCUUUGAUUUUACCAAUUUUUACCAAAUUGAAUAUAAUCAAGAGGAAGAUGGAUGAUCACAAGCCAUCAAACAACAAACAAAGCUGAACUGCAUCUUUUUUUGGUAUUUCAGCUGUUUAUAAUUUUCUGCAAAUAAAUGCUCUAAAUUAAAAUAUUUUUAUUUGGAAUUUGGGAGAAAUGUUGUCCAUAGUUUAUAAAAUAAAACAGCAAUGUUCAUUUUACUUAAACAUAUACCUAUAAAUUGCAAAAUCUGAGAAACUUGAUUCAGAAACUAAAGUGGUCUCUUUAUUUUUUUCCAGAGCUGUUUGUUAUGAACAUGUUACUGUAUUUCUGUAUUUAUUGUAAGUUGGUUAUAAUAUUCUUAUCACAUGUUUUUGAUGGGGAAUGCAAUACGUAAAAUGAUUAGCCUCUCCCACCUGAGUCAUUUAAGCAAAGAAUACUGUAUUUUCCUGAUGUCAUGAAGAAAAAAUGCAUUACUCCAUAGAUAAAGCUAAUCGCUUCACAAUAGGGUUUAUGUUGGAUGUCUGAAGUUUGCUCUGCAGCUUAACUCCGUGGGUGAUCCAGCCAAAAUCUGCUGGACACUCAAUAUGCAGUCACUUCUAACUGCAGUUAGUUGUCUCAAAUAGAUUUGCUUACGAAUUGACUUGACUUGAAUUGUGUGACCAAUAUUUUACUCUCCAUAAAAGCAGAAAAAGGUUUGUUGCAUAGCUACAGUUUGUACUUCUGUACUUUUUAUAGAGAAGUGUUACACGGGGGGUCAUAAACCUGAAGAAACCUAAAGCAAUUCUGUUUGAGAGAGUUGUUUUAGGCAGGUGUGUAAGACUUUAGGUAUACAGUUCACACAUGACUGUCCUGGUGACUGCAACAAUCAGGGGAAACAGUGAGGAAACUAAAACUAGCAAAAGUAUUUAAUCAAGAUUUUGAUUAAUUUUACUGUCUUUCUGUUUUUAUUGUCUCUCCAUCUCUGCUACAAAUGAAAGGCUUAAUCUCUGUUUGGGAAACCAAACCAUGGACACAGAACACAGGGCGCACGGGUACGAUGGUGUGUACAUGGUUGAUUGACAGCGUUUAGUUUGAGAGUGCGCAGGUGUGGGAAAGGGCAAUGGCAGUGAUCUGAAGGUGCGGAUCAUAGUGAAAAGAGAGCAGGUGUUCCAGUGUGUCUGUGCCACGCAGACGAACUGUAGGCUGUUCCCAGAUACUGAAAACAAUGCCGUGGUGAUCAGCUUUCAGGAAGGGCCAGUGGUUUGUGGUGAUGUUAAGGUCAUGUUUGAAUCCAGGGCUGGUCUUCCAAAGGGGUAUGAGGACUAUCCUUUCUAUUUCUGGUUCAACACUUCAUUUGUAGAGAACAACAGGCUCUAUCUGUCAAGGGAGGAACUGGACAACCCACGUAAGUCCAAAACCUGGGACAUCUACAAGGAGGACUUUGGUGUGACCGUGUCUUUCAGUGACCCUGCACUUAUGUAGCAGACGACACUUGCUUGUGUAUCUCAACUAAAACCCUUAAGCCCUGCACAAGGUCUAAAUCUUUGCUCUAAUGUAGGUUUUCACACACUUAUAAAAGGUGAGUGAUGUUUAGGGAUUGGAUUCGGGCAUAUUGUGCCCCUAAAGCUAUAGCUAUAGCUAUAUAACCUCAACUUUAUGUCCAUCCCCCAUCUUCACUGUAAGAGCUUUUUACUGAGCCGUGCAUACACCACAAUAUUAUGCAUUUGUUUGUCAAAUGUUUUUUUGUCUUUAAAUGAAGACAAAUGUUUGUGUCAGUUUAGCAUAUUAAGCCUCCAAAAUGUAAAUCUUACUCUUUAAGCUUGAGUGUACAUCAAAUAAAGCAAUCGAGGCUGCCACUGUGAAAUGGUCAAUGGUUAUGUGUGCAGAAACAUGUUUUUGUAGUACACAUGUAUUGAAAUAAAUACUAAUGUCUCUGUAA